GUGAGUGCGAAAUAAGUGAGCGUUAGCGACAAAUUUGUAAAUCCUGUGAGAAUGUUUCGCUCAGCUUGACUUAGAAAGAAAGCUCAGUGUCCUGCUCUUAACUAUGAAGACGGGGUUGCACCUGCGGAGGUUAAGUUUCCACGUCUGUCUGCCUCUGCUAAUUGCUGGACGGCGUUGAGUGAUUUCAGCUCAGUGGAACAACGGUAGUCAAUUAAACGGACAAGAAACUACGCCAAGACAUUUAUUGAAGCGUGACGGCUCCUCUCUGUAUGAAGCUGGAUCUGACACUGGAAUUUCCAAACAAACAACCUGACUCCUAAAAGCUGUUUCAAAACAAACAAACAAACAAACAAACAAACAAAUAAAAAUCCAAGUUCACCCUU
ensembl:lncRNA